rnacentral:lncRNA from 1 species
UUUUUUUUUUUUUUUUUUUUUUUUUCUGGUGGUGGCCGUGCUGAUGUGUGUGAAGUGUAGACAGUAUCUUUUUUUAAAGCCAUUCUGGUAGGUGCGUUACGGAUGACAUGGUGGUUUUCCUUUGAGCUCAGAAGCAUACAAUUUGAAUGAAUGUGCCUGGUUGUCUGCCUUGGAUAUUGGUUAUGUUCCCCUGGGCCGUCGGGAGUGCUGGGUCACCACUGGUGUCCUCGUCAUCCUUGCGAUGCUGCUGGUACACAGUAGGCACUCAGUACAUGCUGGUUGAGUUCUGUCACUGGUGAGGGUGACAGCUGCGUGCUGGAAUUCCAGAGAAGAGCGAGAAGAAUCUCUGCAUUGUGGCAACUGAGCUGCGCUUGCCCGGACAGGUGCCGCGCCCCCAUCCCCCGCCGCCCCAGGCCUGCAGAGACGCCGCCUUUCUCUUUCUUUGCAGGACAAGAUCUUCCUGUUCAUCUUCCCAAGUUCCUUGUCCAGCAUCUGCUCACAGCCCCAAAUCCUGUGUCUUAGAGCCUAGAAGAGAGGGCAGCGGCUGAAAACAUGUUCGGGGCAGAAGCAGCUGCUGGCCGUGACCUUGGUGCGGCCCCCAGGGGCCCUGCAAGGACAGCACAGCCCUCCUGAGUCCACAUGAAAGGCCAGCCCUGCAGCUCUGACCAAAUAUGGCCACGGCCCUCUCUCUGUAAUUAGCGCAGCGCAGCAUCUUCCAGAAAUGAUGAUCAACAGAGGGGGAGCUCUACACCGGACCCGCACCGAGCGUGGGCCAGGCCUGUGCCCACAUGCCGCCUGUCCCCGUGCAGGGUGUCAUCGGCUGCCCUCCUGCGCUGGGGAUGUCUUCGGGGGCCAGCAACCAGCCAGGCAUUUUCAUUGUGCACCAUUUUUGUGUCAAAUUAGAGUUUCCCCCUUAGUUCUCUUGUUCAUUGUGCUGGCGGCCAUGGCCUCGGGGGCUUCAGCAGAUCCCGAGCGGGCCCUGGGCUGGCCUGGCUAGUGACAGGGCGUUUUCAGACCAGGAACAUGGAGGGAUACUUUGUGCUUUGUGUCCCAAAGGGCCUCUUCCUUCCCCUUGGUCCUCUCUGCCCUCUUCCUGCGUUCUCUGCUCCGUGGUCUUCACUGCUGCCAGCAUUACUACCCCCUAACAGGGCUCCACAGUGUUUUUUAGAGAUGUGGGCAGGUCAGGGUUCAAGCCUGGGCGCUGCUGCUCCUUUAUAGGGGACCUUGCCUCUCAGUGUCUCGCCAAUUCAUAUGUAAAAUGGAAAACACACCUCGGUGUGUUCCAGCGAAGAUGAAGUGAUGCUUCACUUAACUCAGACUUUGUAAAAAGUAGCCUAGGAGUUCCCGUAUGGCUCAGUGGGUUAAGGAUUCAGUGUUUUCACUGAUGAGGCUCGGGUGGCUGCUGUGGUGUGGGUUUGAUCCCUAGCCUGGGACCUUCGGCAUGCCGCAGGUGCAGCCAAAACAAAAAGCAAAAAAACCCAGCUCCUUUCCUCCAUUAACUUGUCAUGGAGAGUGGGGUGAACUCCAGGCACGGAGUUAAUCUGUUUAAUGAAAAAUGCUACCUGGGAACCUCCAUGUGCCACGGGAGCGGCCCAAAGAAAUAGCCAAAAAAAAAAAAAAAAAAAAAAAAAAUUUUGGCAGGCCUUUCCUGAAUGAGCGUGUGUGGGUUUCUGCCCUCAAGGCCGAGAUAAGCUGUAGGUGGCCCGGGCACCUGCAGGGCUGGGUGGCAGUGGGAAGGUGGAUUCUGGCUCAUUCCCCACCCCCACCCCCACCGUGCUGGGUCCUUUCUGCACACACACUGGCAAUGUGCCUGCACUCCGGUCCAGACGCUGGGGUUUGGAUCUGGCUGGAGGAGUUGAGGAGAGCAGAGGUGAAGGUCACUGUGUGGGGGGAUGUGAGAUUGAAUCCAGGGUCUCUAAGAAGCAGGGACUUGUAAAAAUCUCAUCACCAAUUUGUGCUUCUGUUUCCUCUUCUGUCGCGUGUGGAUCGGUAGGGAUAAAUAGCACCCCGCUCCCCGCCAGCCCAGGGUGGUUGUACAGUUAAAUGAGAUAAUACAGCAUAGGAAGCCCUCAGCGUGCUGCUGGGCACCUGUAACGGCUUGAUAAAUGUUAACCAGGGGCACCUGUGCCUUUCUUUGUGGAAGGGGCUUCGGGUGGGUGGUGGUGGCAGAGCGCGUGACCUGCCGUGUCACUGAAGAAAACAUGCAGCAGGCUGUUCACUACAGCCAAGACAGAAGCAGCCUGGAGUUCCCAUUGUGGCUCAGCAGGCGAAAGACCUGAUGUUGUCUCUGUGAGGAUGUGAGUUUGAUCCCUGGCCUUGCUCGGUGGAUUAAGGAUCCAGCAUUACCCGAAGCUGAAGCAUAGGUUGCAAAUGCAGCCCAGAUCCAGUGUGGCUGUGGCUGUGGCUGUGGUGUAGGUCAAAGCUGCAGCUCCGAUUCAGCCCCUAGCCUGGGAACUUCCAUAUGCCACAGGUGCAGCCUUAAAAAGAAAAAAUUUUUUAAAAAGCAGCAGGAGGAGGUGAGGGUUGAAGCCCCCUCCCAUGAUCCAGACCUCUCUGUGGUGCUACCACCCAGGUUCUGGCAUCAGCACUACUGCUAUUGCCAUUGUUGUUGUUGACCGCCCACCAUGGGGCUGGAAGGGCCCCCCCCUGCCCUCUGACUUGAUCCCUCUCCUCAGAGGCCACAGUUUGUGGAUGGGGCUGGAGGCACGUCCUUCCUCGUGCCGGUGGGGCAGUUCCAUGGAGAGUCACGUCGUGCCGGGUGGGUCCCCAGUGUGGCACGCCUGCUGGGGCAGGAGGUCCCCAGCUGGGCAAGGGUUCCCAUCCUCCUCUGGCCUCGGGAGCCAGCUCCUGGAAGGUGUUUCCAGGCCAGCUUCUCGUUUGGGGGUCAGGGACCUUCUUCUCUCCCCUCCCAGGAACCAUGCAGGGUGCCUUGCCGACCUCUGUCUGGAAUCGGCCUGGAGCCUCGUCUUGGGGCCACACAUGUCAUGCUUCAUACUUGCUUUUAGAGAAGUCCCCACGGAGACCAGCAGGCAGGUCUGGGCCCCAGAGAGCUGGCUCCCCAGAAAGGUAGCACAAGGCAAAAACAAGCUGCAUGGCACCAGCAUUAGGGGUGAGGUCAGGGGCUAUUUCGGGGGGCCUCGGUCACCCCACUCCCUGCCUGCUCUGCCACGCGUAAAGUCUGGGAAAGCACAGAGUUUGCAGCAUCAGCCCUGAAGGGGAUGCUGAUGUUCCCUCUGGGUCCACUUUCCGCAGCCCAGAUCCAGGUGUUGAGGGGACAGGACUGCAGCUCACGUCAGAAACAAAAGCAGAGGGGCGGUCUCUCCUCUUGGUCUGGCAACACCAGGGCCCCUGCACUGGCCCCUCAUCAGUCCCUGAGAGCAAGGGACAAAGGCAUCCCCUCCCUGGUCCCCGUCUCCCAUGGGAAAGCAGCACCCCCACGGGCUAGGACCCCACUUGCAGAAUGACCCCCUUUGCAGAAGGAUCCCCUUACAGAAGCAGCCCUCUUUGCAAAACGGACCUCCCUUUGCAGAAGGAUGCCCUCCCUUUGCAGAAGGAUGCUACCUGCCCCCCCUUUGCAGAAGGACACAAUGCAAACUUCUGAGCCUCCAGCACCCCUGCCAUGCAGUUACUUCGAGGGCCCCCAAGGACCAGACGUUUGCUCUGAACUCACAUGGGUCAGAGCAGCGUCCAGCAGGACCCAGCCAAGCUGGUGGCCCAGGAUGAAGGCCCCCAGUCUUAGCCAGGGCUCCCCAGUUCUCUUUAAUUUCUCUUUAAUGAGAGCAAUUUGGCAACAGCAUAAAAUAUGCUCUUACCCUUUGUUCCAGUAAUUCCCUUUCUGGGAAUCUGGCCUAAGGAAAUAAUCCUAAACAUGGGGUGGGAAAACAUGUUUCACAAGGAUGUCCAUUGUGCAGUUGUUUAUAGCAGCAUAAAGUGAAGCCACCACACUGUCUGCGGAGGGGGCGGUGGGCGUGGUGGUGAAAGAGGUGGUGGUCAGAUGUUUAAUAGGCACUAAAACGGUAAUUCUGAAGAUUGAUCUUCAGAAUAGGGGGUGUGCACACGAUGUCACAUUAUGUGAAAAAAAGGCAAGUCCCAGAUCUAUAUAUACCUGCCAAAAAAUGAGGUAUGGAAAAUCAUCAGGAAGUGCCUUGAGAGGUCUUGUAUGAUUUCGUCUGAAAGGUUACGUUCUGUUCACCAUCUUCCCAGUCCGCUGGGACAUUCGUGCGUGGCCUUUCUUAGGGUUGAGCCGUGCUUUACAUUCAGAAAAGUGGACCCUUCUUAGCGGGCAGCGCUGUGAAUUUUGACCUGUGAACAAUCAAGUAACUGCCACCACAUUCAGGACGUCGACUCUUUGCAUCACCCCAAAAAGUUCCCCCACGCCCCUUCCCCAUGCCCCUCGGUAACCAUUCCCUUCCCCCGCCCCACGCCCACGCCCUGAUCUGAUUGCAGUCCCUAUAGUUCUUGCUUCUUCCAGGAUGUCAUGCAAACAGAACCACCCAGUACAUCUUGUACUGCGUUUACGCGUAGAAAUAACUUUUUCAUCUACUUAAUGUUCUCUUAAAUGUACCUCUUAGGGCUGGAUUUCCUAGCUUCCCUCAAGUGGAGACUUUAAUUUUUCCUUUCUAUCCAACUCAGCCUUUACCCCAUGCAGGAAUCUCCUCCGCUGUAGCCCUGAUCGUUGUGCUCAGAUUACCGGGGAAUUAUCAGUUAUCUGUAAAAUCGUCCCAGCGGUGUGAAAGUACCCAGGAUGGAGGACGUCCUCGGCAGCAUCAGCUCACCCCCCUGCAUCCAAAGAGCGGCCGAGGGCGCCUGCAGUCCCCCGAUCUGUCCAUUUCCCUUGCAAGCCUCAGGGGCGCCUGUCCAGGCUGUCCAUCGUGGUGAUAAUAGUAACAACAGCAGCCGCAGCUGCAGGUCGUGUUUCUUAAUAAACAUUUUAUGUUAGAACAGUUCGAGACGGAAAGAAAAAUUGCAGAGACGGUAUCGCUUGCAUUCACCCCACACGCUCUCUCCGCCGUGGCUAACAUCUGACGGUGGCAUGAUAAAUCUGUCACCGCUCCUGAGCCAUACUGAUAUAUGCGUUAUGAAAGUCCACGCUUUAUUUGAUUUCCUUAGUUUCGCCCCGAUGUCCUUUGUCUAUCCCAGGCUCUCCCAUGCGCUCCCAGUGCAUUUAGUUAUCAUGUCUCUGUUGACUUCUCUCGGUGGGGACAGAUGCUUCAGCCUUUCCUUGUUUUUCGAGAGUGCUGGUCGGUUAUUUUGAGGGCUGCCCCUCAAUUGGGGUUUGCCUGAUGUUUUUCUCAUGGUUAGACUAGAAUUAGGACUUGAGGUGAGGAAGCUCCCAGAGAUAAAAGGGUUAGUGUUUCUCACAAUAGUUCGUUUUAUUGAGCUUUUCAGUUUGUUCCAGAUGCUGUACUAAGCCCUUGACAUAUUGGAUCCUCUUUAAGGCUCCUGAUGCUCAUUAAAUUCUCAGUGGAUCAUUGGAGGAAAUGGGCUCAGAGAGGGGCAGUCGCUCUCAUAAAGACACACAGUAAGCGGCUCAAACACAGGUCUCAUUGAUUCUCCAAUUUUUGCUUUCAGCCAGGACUGCGUCAAACAGCAGUGCAUCUGCUUUUUUAAAAAAGUGUGUAUUUAUACCCAGCCUGUCCCCCAAAAGCUGGUAGUGCACCUUCUCAUCAAGGCCACUUUGAGACAGUGACAGCAGGGUCAGGAGACAGGCAGGCACGGUAUUUAGCAGGCCUUCUGUCAUGGUACGUCGCACAUGUCACCUGGAGCCCCCGUGUUCCCAUCGGCUUGCUGGUGAGCGCUGGGCAGCACAGGGCUUGCUGCGUCUCCAUCUCCAGGAGGCUGUGAUGGGGAAAUAGAAGCCUCCAGGCUUUCCGCUUGUGUGUUCAAGGUUCUAAAGGCAUGAGGCAGGCCGGCCGCUUGGUUUGGAUAAAUCACAUCCGCCUUGUGGUGGUCACGCUCAGUACCCUUGUGGGGUUUUUGGAUGCGGGUCCGUAUCUAUUAUUAGGUCCAACGAUUUUGUGGAUGCCACAGUCGCUGUGUUCUAGCCCGUGUUCUCUGGCUUCUUGGUGUAUCAAGGGGUCCGAGGGCUGGGCUGGGAAGCCAGCCAGACCUUGGAAAGGGAUGUGGGCUGCCAAGGAUAGGUGUUCAGCGCAUCUGGGCACCCCGGUGCCAGUGCCCUAAAGGAGAUUUUUUUUAACUUAUUAUUUUUAAUUUUUAAAUUUAAUAUUUAAAACUAAUAACCAAAA